rnacentral:rRNA from 1 species
UGCAGUCGAGCGGCAGCACAAGGGAGUUUACUCCUGAGGUGGCGAGCGGCGGACGGGUGAGUAAUGCCUAGGGAUCUGCCCAGUCGAGGGGGAUAACAGUUGGAAACGACUGCUAAUACCGCAUACGCCCUACGGGGGAAAGAGGGGGACCUUCGGGCCUCUCGCGAUUGGAUGAACCUAGGUGGGAUUAGCUAGUUGGUGAGGUAAUGGCUCACCAAGGCGACGAUCCCUAGCUGUUCUGAGAGGAUGAUCAGCCACACUGGGACUGAGACACGGCCCAGACUCCUACGGGAGGCAGCAGUGGGGAAUAUUGCACAAUGGGGGAAACCCUGAUGCAGCCAUGCCGCGUGUGUGAAGAAGGCCUUCGGGUUGUAAAGCACUUUCAGUAGGGAGGAAAGGGUGAGUCUUAAUACGGCUCAUCUGUGACGUUACCUACAGAAGAAGGACCGGCUAACUCCGUGCCAGCAGCCGCGGUAAUACGGAGGGUCCGAGCGUUAAUCGGAAUUACUGGGCGUAAAGCGUGCGCAGGCGGUUUGUUAAGCGAGAUGUGAAAGCCCUGGGCUCAACCUAGGAAUAGCAUUUCGAACUGGCGAACUAGAGUCUUGUAGAGGGGGGUAGAAUUCCAGGUGUAGCGGUGAAAUGCGUAGAGAUCUGGAGGAAUACCGGUGGCGAAGGCGGCCCCCUGGACAAGACUGACGCUCAUGCACGAAAGGCGUGGGGGAGCAAACAGGAUUAGAUACCCUGGUAGUCCACGCCGUAAACGAUGUCUACUCGGAGUUUGGUGUUCUUGAACCACUGGGCUUCCCAAGCUAACGCAUUAGUAGACCGCCUGGGGGAGUACGGCCGCAAGUUUAAAACUCAAAUGAUUGACGGGGCCGCACAAGCGGUGGAGCAUGUGUU